UAGAACGUUCUUCUUCACCACAGCCCCACCACCGCUGUUUCUACUCCGGCGAAGUCUCUCCGGAGGACAUUACCACCACCAUGAUCCGCUCCCAUUUCUCUUUUAGCUACUGUACCGCGAGUUCACCAAAAUCGGUCAGAUCUGGCCAAAAUAUUCAUUGUCUAAGGUGUUGCUCUGGCCAAACCAUUGAAGCAGUGCCGCUACCGGUUGUCCUCACCCCUCUUUUGGUCGCCGACCAACCCAUACUCCGGAACUGCCGCGUCAUCCCUCUUCCCUCUCCCUGUGAUUUUCUAUUGUUUAUUAAAAUGAUGACCUAUAUCAAAACGGCCCAGAUCUGGCAUGAUUUAUACGUUUUCUAAUGUUGCUCGAGUGAGAAUCCGUUAAAGCAACAUAGUUGUAACCAUCAUGUAGGUUAUAUCUCUGUUUUUGAUUAAUGUAGCUGUUGUUGUUGUUUUCUAUAUUGUUCUGCUAACAAGGCUAAUUUGGAUGGAAUUUCUCAUUCUCUAUUGAAGGUUCAUGGGUUCAGCGAUCUAUCUUACAUAUUUUCUGUGA
rnacentral:lncRNA from 1 species